rnacentral:rRNA from 1 species
GACGAACGCUGGCGGCGUGCUUAACACAUGCAAGUCGAACGCGAACGGGUUCUUCGGGACCUUAGUAGAGUGGCGCACGGGUGAGUAACGCGUAAGUUAUCUACCUCGGCAUCUGGAAUAACUCACCGAAAGGUGUGCUAAUACCGGAUACGUUGAGUAAUCAAGAAAGGUGGCCUCUCUUUGAUGCUACCGUGCUGAGAUGAGCUUGCGUACCAUUAGCUAGUUGGUGGGGUAAUGGCCUACCAAGGCGACGAUGGUUAGCGGGUCUGAGAGGAUGAUCCGCCACACUGGAACUGGAACACGGACCAGACUCCUACGGGAGGCAGCAGUGAGGAAUAUUGCGCAAUGGGGGCAACCCUGACGCAGCGACGCCGCGUGGAUGAUGAAGGCCUUCGGGUCGUAAAAUCCUGUCAGGUGGAAAGAAAUGUAUAUGUGCUAAUACCAUGUAUACUUGACGGUACCACCGAAGGAAGCACCGGCUAACUCCGUGCCAGCCGCCGCCGUAACAC